rnacentral:rRNA from 1 species
GACCGGCCACACUGGGACUGAGACACGGCCCAGACUCCUACGGGAGGCAGCAGUGGGGAAUAUUGCACAAUGGGCGGAAGCCUGAUGCAGCAACGCCGCGUGAGGGAUGACGGCCUUCGGGUUGUAAACCUCUUUUAGCAGGGAAGAAGCGAAAGUGACGGUACCUGCAGAAAAAGCACCGGCUAACUACGUGCCAGCAGCCGCGGUAAUACGUAGGGUGCAAGCGUUAUCCGGAAUUAUUGGGCGUAAAGAGCUCGUAGGCGGUUUGUCGCGUCUGCUGUGAAAUCCCGAGGCUCAACCUCGGGCCUGCAGUGGGUACGGGCAGACUAGAGUGCGGUAGGGGAGAUUGGAAUUCCUGGUGUAGCGGUGGAAUGCGCAGAUAUCAGGAGGAACACCGAUGGCGAAGGCAGAUCUCUGGGCCGUAACUGACGCUGAGGAGCGAAAGGGUGGGGAGCAAACAGGCUUAGAUACCCUGGUAGUCCACCCCGUAAACGUUGGGAACUAGUUGUGGGGUCCUUUCCACGGAUUCCGUGACGCAGCUAACGCAUUAAGUUCCCCGCCUGGGGAGUACGGCCGCAAGGCUAAAACUCAAAGGAAUUGACGGGGACCCGCACAAGCGGCGGARCAUGCGGAUUAAUUCGAUGCAACGCGAAGAACCUUACCAAGGCUUGACAUACACGAGAACGGGCCAGAAAUGGUCAACUCUUUGGACACUCGUGAACAGGUGGUGCAUGGUUGUCGUCAGCUCGUGUCGUGAGAUGUUGGGUUAAGUCCCGCAACGAGCGCAACCCUCGUUCUAUGUUGCCAGCACGUAAUGGUGGGAACUCAUGGGAUACUGCCGGGGUCAACUCGGAGGAAGGUGGGGAUGACGUCAAAUCAUCAUGCCCCUUAUGUCUUGGGCUUCACGCAUGCUACAAUGGCCGGUACAAAGGGCUGCAAUACCGUGAGGUGGAGCGAAUCCCAAAAAGCCGGUCCCAGUUCGGAUUGAGGUCUGCAACUCGACCUCAUGAAGUCGGAGUCGCUAGUAAUCGCAGAUCAGCAACGCUGCGGUGAAUACGUUCCCGGGUCUUGUACACACCGCCCGUCAAGUCAUGAAAGUCGGUAACACCUGAAG